GCCUCUUGAAUCACUAUAAGAGGUCCAGCCUGCCCAGUGACCCUGUUCAACGGCCGCGGUAUCCUAACCGUGCGAAGGUAGCGUAAUCACUUGUUCUCUAAAUGUGGACUAGUAUGAAUGGCAUCACGAAGGUUAUACUGUCUCCUUUUUCUAAUCAGUGAAACUAAUCUCCCCGUGAAGAAGCGGGGAUAGCACUAUAAGACGAGAAGACCCUAUGGAGCUUUAAACAACGCAGCAUCUGCCCCACAAUACUAGAAUUUCUGAAUUAAAACUUCCCUGGACAGUAUGACUGCAAGUUUUUGGUUGGGGUGACCACGGAGCAUAAUAUAACCUCCAUGCUGAAAGAAUCUUUCUAAGCUAAGAACCACAAAUCCAAGCAUCAAUAAAUUGACAUCCAUUGACCCAAUACACUUGAACAACGAACCAAGUUACCCUAGGGAUAACAGCGCAAUCCACUUCAAAAGCUCUUAUCGACAAGUGGGUUUACGACCUCGAUGUUGGAUCAGGGUCUCCCAGUGGUGCAGCCGCUAUUUAAGGUUCGUUUGUUCAACGAUUAAAGUCCUACGUG
rnacentral:rRNA from 1 species